CCUGCGAGAGGAGAUCGCCGACAGUUUGGAAAACCCAGAUCCAGUGCCGCUUGCGUUAUUAACCCCUGGCUCAGCGGAUCCGGGUGGGCAAGAAGAACAAAAUCUUCUGGUUGCGGGCAGCAUGUUGGAGGUGGUGGCAGUGGUCGCCUGAACUGCGGCCAGCACCGGCGGCCAGAUUCACUCGCCACUGCUUCGGCGCAAUCAACUGACCGACGCCCAGAAUCACCUGGGUGGAGACGAAGAGGUGAGUUUAAAUAAUUCCGUUUUGCGUAGCUUAAAGCAUGUACAGUACAUUAUACAUCGGGUGUCAGACCGUGGUUCAGAUAAUUAUUCACAGCUAGACAAACUUUGAGUAAGAAAACAUAACCUAUAUGGAUGGUAAUUGUCAUGACAUUACCACGGCAGUAGAACAAAAGAGAAAAAUGAAAAAAAGAAAUUACCUGAACUAGGGUAGCAACUUAUUCCUGAUGAAAGGGCAAUGAUUUCUUUCUGCGAAAAUUCAGGUUACGCCUAGGUAGGGCACCCCUGGACAUGACACCAUGUCCUUCUUGUAUGAGUGUGUAGACAAUGAGAAAAUAUGCUGAAGAGCCUACAAGAAGUGUAAUCAAGCCGGAACUUGGGCUGAGUUUUGGUUCACUUGGAGAGGCGUACGACUUCUACAAUUUGUAUUCGUGGGAGAUUGGAUUUGAAAUUCGGUACAGCAAAAGCAGGCUAAAUGCUUACAGAACGAAGUCCAUCUAGGAGAUAGUGUGUGGCUGCUCGGUUGAUUCUGACUUUGUGCCUGAAUCUAACAUUUGAGCAAUGCUGGCAAAAACAAUAAUAAUUCUGUUAUACGAUUUGUGAUUCAGUCAAAUGAUUUUUUUCCCAGUGAAAUUUGUCAUGCAGGGCAAGCUGGAAGCUGAGAACAGCAGAUCUUGUAGACCAGAACAGAGCUAUGGAAGUGGCGAUCAUCAAGGUAUAUCCUGAUACUGUGCACCGAUGGUGCAAAUGACACGUAUUGAAGAAAGCAAAAGUGAGUUUGGGGCCACUCUACAUGAAGAAGAGCGACUUCCAGCCAGAGUUCCACAAGGGAGGCCUUGUGAGGAGAAGAAAUCUGGCAAUAGAGCGACAUGUUAGCAAAGUAUAUACCAGGGCUAUGUUCGAGGAGUUCAGAUUUCUACUGAUCAAGGGGACCGCAUACAAUGUGACAGAAGUUGAGAAAAUAAGGAAAUAGUACAUGACAACACAAAUAACGCAGCAAAAAGAGAGAAAUGGAGAAGGGUGGUUUAUGAGGUUGAAGUAAAGGAGGACGGGUUGGAAUUUACUUGUUAGUGUGGACAGUUUGAGCUCAUGGGGAUACUGUACUGGGUGAUACAUUAGGUUCUCCAUGUGUCGUAGGCGUGUCUAACUGUCUAUUAUCUUGCCUAAAAAAAAACUGCUUCUAUGGUUUGACUGUGUCGUUCUGGGAUCUACAAUA